rnacentral:rRNA from 1 species
CCUACGGGUGGCAGCAGUGAGGAAUAUUGGUCAAUGGACGCGAGUCUGAACCAGCCAAGUAGCGUGAAGGCUGACUGCUCUAUGGGUUGUAAACCUCUUUUAUAAAGGAAUAAAGUGAGGCACGUGUCCCUUUUUGUAUGUACUUUAUGAAUAAGGAUCGGCUAACUCCGUGCCAGCAGCCGCGGUAAUACGGAGGAUCCGAGCGUUAUCCGGAUUUAUUGGGUUUAAAGGGUGCGUAGACGGGUUGUUAAGUCAGCUGUGAAAGUUUGUGGCUCAACCGUGGAAUUGCAAUUGAUACUGGCAGGCUUGAGUACAGUUGAGGUAGGCGGAAUGCGUGGUGUAGCGGUGAAAUGCUUAGAUAUCACGAAGAACUCCGAUUGCGAAGGCAGCUUACUAAGCUGCCACUGACGUUGAUGCACGAAAGUGUGGGGAUCAAACAGGAUUAGAUACCCUUGUAGUC